GGCCCCGUAGUUCAAUGGAUAGAACGGAAGUUUCCUAAACUUUAAAUACAGGUUCGAUCCCUGUCGGGGCUA
rnacentral:tRNA from 2 species